rnacentral:tRNA from 1 species
GGUUGUGGCAUAGUGGUAGAGCACUUACCUAGCAUGCAUGAGGUGCUGGGUUCAAUCCUCGGCACCA